rnacentral:rRNA from 1 species
CCCUACGGGGCGCAGCAGGCGCGAAAACUUCGCACUGUGCGAAAGCACGACGAGGGAAUCCCAAGUGCUGGCUCGUUAGAGUCAGCUGUUUCUCUGUCUAAAAAACAGAGAGAGUAAGGGCUGGGUAAGACGGGUGCCAGCCGCCGCGGUAAUACCUGCAGCCCAAGUGGUGACUGUUAUUAUUGGGCCUAAAACGUCCGUAGCCGGUUUAGUAAAUGCCUGGUAAAUCGUACGGCUUAACCGUACGAAGUCCGGGUAGACUGCUGAACUUGAGAUCGGGAGAGGCUAGAGGUACUCCUGGGGUAGAGGUGAAAUCCUGUAAUCC